UACGAAGGGGGCUAGCGUUGCUCGGAAUCACUGGGCGUAAAGCGCACGUAGGCGGAUCGUUAAGUCAGGGGUGAAAUCCUGGAGCUCAACUCCAGAACUGCCUUUGAUACUGGCGAUCUUGAGUUCGGGAGAGGUGAGUGGAACUGCGAGUGUAGAGGUGAAAUUCGUAGAUAUUCGCAAGAACACCAGUGGCGAAGGCGGCUCACUGGCCCGAUACUGACGCUGAGGUGCGAAAGCGUGGGGAGCGAACAGG
rnacentral:rRNA from 1 species